GAUAAUAUUACUGAAUAUGAUCCAGAUGUAGUAUCUGAUAAAAAUUUUGCUUUUUUUAUGAAACCUACCGACAUAAAAAAAAUCAAUGCUUGAAGCUAGAAUAAAACAGAUUUUAUUUGUUUGAAAGUAGAGGGUGUUUAUUUUAAUGUAUUGCGUGUUCAGAUAUUCAUACAACUAAAUAUUCUGGGGGCCAUGCAAUUUUAGUGAAAAUCAGCGAAAACGCUGGCGGGGAAAGAGUUAAUGUUAUUCAAUGGAGCUGAGAUAACAUGAACUAACAAUCAACAACUUAUCAAAGAUUAAUAAAUGCUGAGUCACGUAUUGCUCGUUGUUAAUGUUAGUGAAUGCAUUAAUUUAUAGGACCUUACUGUGAAGCUAGUUUUAUGGUUUGAGCUGCUAACACUGAUGUUAAUGACAGCGUGUGUCUGUGAUCUCAGGGACGUUCGGGAAAGCGCCGUGGCGGCCGCAGCAGGAGCUCUGCGCUCAUAACGCCGUCAUCCUUCACGAGAAUCCGUACGCAGCGCUUCACGCCGACUCGGACCUGGACUCGGAGCGUGCGAGCGUUUACGAGCAGCCACUCGAUCACAGGACGAUAGAGAGCUUUCCCUCGUCACCGCUGGGCUCUUAGCGCCUUCGACAGGAGGACGACCAAAGACCAGAAACGCUCUACCUCAAGAAAGGAGCUGCGACUGAAUACGCUCUGGAACGAGGCUCCAUCAUCUCAGCUUCAGAUGAUGCCAGCGAGAGCUUCAGAAACACAAAGACAAUCAUCACGGCAGUAAUUCAGCGUUCUGUCAUCACUUACUUACUCAGAGACGCGUUUAAGAGACGUUCAGAAGGAUGUCCAAGCUGCUCUCUCACAAACACUGAAGGCUGAUGCUGAUUUAUACUGUAGAAGUACCAAGUCCAAAUUCCAAAAAAACAUUCUCUGACGAUCUUCCCCUCCUAUUGGAAUAGAUUUAUGGGCUAUAUGAUCAUGAUACUUUCAUUCAUUUAUUAUUUUUUUAAUUUAUCUUAUGAUAGUUUUUUUUGUCUUAUGAUAUUUAUAUUUUGAUAUGAUACUUUUUAAUUUGUUUCUAUGAUACAUUAAUGAUUUCAUCUUACUUUAAUUCGAUUUUUAUAUAUUUACCGUACUUGUGAUAUUUUUCUAGAAAAGUAAACUUUACAUCCUAUUUCAAGAUACUUUUAUUUUCACAUUAUACAUUUUUGAUACUUUUGAUAUAUAUAUAUAUAUAUAUAUAUAUAUAU
ensembl:lncRNA